AUUAAUCCAUUGAUAAGGGGUAGUAAUUAAGUUUAGGUUCAUUACAGAGAGCUGGUUAUGGUGAGAUUCUAGCAUGAAAAAACUUAAUGAAUGGGCCUUUGAGGAGUAAAGGGAAAUCUAUUUAGGAGAGUACUAUUUACCGUGUCCUUCACGUUAUAGAAGGCAAAGUAUGAUUGUACUUUAGUAAGGUGGCAUAAAUUUUUAUGCAAUUUAGGUGGUAUCGCGGAUAUAACUUCGUCCUAUUU
rfam:Paeniclostridium sordellii ATCC 9714 gcs9714.contig.93, whole genome shotgun sequence.